CAGCCGCCGCGGUAAUACCGGCGGCCCGAGUGGCGGCCACUAUUAUUGGGCCUAAAGCGUCCGUAGCCGGGCUGGUAAGUCCUCCGGGAAAUCUGGUCGCUUAACGAUCAGACUUCCGGAGGAUACUGCUGGCCUAGGGACCGGGAGAGGCCGAGGGGAUUCCCGGGGUAGGGGUGAAAUCCUGUAAUCCCGGGAGGACCACCUGUGGCGAAGGCGCUCGGCUGGAACGGGUCCGACGGUGAGGGACGAAGGCCAGGGGAGCGAACCGGAUUAGAUGCCCGGGUAGUCCUGGCUGUAAACGAUGCGGACUAGGUGUCGGGCAAGCUAAGGGCUUGUCCGGUGCCGCAGGGAAGCCGUUAAGUCCGCCGCCUGGGGAGUACGGCCGCAAGGUUGAAACUUAAAGGAAUUGGCGGG
rnacentral:rRNA from 1 species